rnacentral:rRNA from 1 species
CCUACGGGGGGCUGCAGUGGGGAAUAUUGGACAAUGGGGGGAACCCUGAUCCAGCGACGCCGCGUGAGUGAAGAAGUCUUUCGGUAUGUAAAGCUCUAUUAGCAGGGAAGAAAGAAAUGACGGUACCUGAAUAAGAAGCCCCGGCUAACUACGUGCCAGCGGCCGCGGUAAUACGGAGGGGGCAAGCGUUAUCCGGAUUUACUGGGUGUACAGGGAGCGUAGGCGGUUACGCAAGUCUGGAGUGAAAGGCGGGGGCUCAACCCCCGGACUGCUUUGGAACCUGUAUAACUGGAGUGCAGGAGAGGUGGGUGGAAUUCGUAGUGUAGCGGUGAAAUGCGUAGAUAUUAGGAGGAACACCAGUGGCGAAGGCGGCUUACUGGACUGUAACUGACGUUGAGGCUCGAAAGCGUGGGGAGCAAACAGGAUUAGAUACCCUUGUAGUC